CACCAUCUCACGAGGAGGUGAUGCUAGCAAAGAAUCUGGAUGUGUCUCAAGGGCUGGUGAACGGGGCACGAGGCGUUGUUGUAGGAUUUGAAAGUGAACAGAAGGAGGGACAGUCUGUUGCUAGAACCCAGUAUGACAACAUGGGAUUUUUUUUUAAAGAACUCUUUAUUGUGGUAAUUGUACUGCAAGAACAGAGCUCCUCUUCUCUUCGUUAGUCAGUAAAAUGAAGAAUCUGAAGGCUGAGCAGCUUUUUAUACAAGGCUGCCACAAAGCCAUCCUCAAAAUGCCUA